rnacentral:sRNA from 1 species
CCUUUGGAGUAUCAUACAAACUUGAGUAGAGUAAAUGAAUAUAGUAAUUUACUCAAAAGGGGAUACGUUGAAAAAGGAA